UUCGUAGGUGAACCUGCGGCUGGGUUGUAGCUGGCCUUCCGAGGCAUGUGCACGCCCUGCUCAUCCACUCUACACCUGUGCACUUACUGUGGGCUUCAGACGUCGUGAAGCGGGCUCUUUACUGAGCCUGUAGAGCGGUGUCUGUGCCUGCGUUUAUCACAAACCCCAUAAAGUAUUAGAAUGUGUAUUGCGAUGUAACGCAUCUAUAUACAACUUUCAGCAACGGAUCUCUUGGCUCUCGCAUCGAUGAAGAACGCAGCGAAAUGCGAUAAGUAAUGUGAAUUGCAGAAUUCAGUGAAUCAUCGAAUCUUUGAACGCACCUUGCGCUCCUUGGUAUUCCGAGGAGCAUGCCUGUUUGAGUGUCAUGAAAUCUUCAACUUACAGACCUUUGCGGGUUUGUAGGCUUGGACUUGGAGGCUUGUCGGCCGUGUUUCGGCCGGCUCCUCUUAAAUGCAUUAGCUUGAAUCCUUGCGGAUCGGCUCUCGGUGUGAUAAUGUCUACGCCGCGACCGUGAAGCGUUUUGGCGAGCUUCUAACCGUCCUCGUUUGGACAGCUUUAUGACCUCUGACCUCAAAUCAGGUAGGACUACCCGCUGAACUUAAGCAUAUCAA
rnacentral:rRNA from 1 species